rnacentral:tRNA from 1 species
GAGCGAGUGGCAAACCCUGCGUUGGGUUCCAAAUCAGAUGAAAGUAAAAACAAACGUAUUCGCUCA